AGGAGUGUAGAGGGGGUGGGCAGGCUACAGGACCCUGGACAGAGAAGUACUGGCAGAGACCGAGGGGAAUGUGAAGGAGCUCCAGGCUGGCUGCUGGGGCUCAACCAGGACAAGGCCCCCAGGCUACUGUAUGAUUUUCAGUGACAAGCCCCAGGAAAAGUGCAAGGAGGUCCUACAGCACUGCAGAAAGGAGCCCCAGGCCUACAGUUCCCAGACUUUCCACUGAGCAUAGCUGGGCAAAGCAGAUGGAAACCUUCACGAAAAGCUUCCCAUCUUAUUUUGCUUUUUAACAUAACAGAUAAAGGGGUGAUGGAUCCAGAAGGAGGUGUCUUUCCAAACUUCACCGCUUGUAUGAUUUUAAUCACUGUCGUUUUGAAGCAGUUAAACAUAUUGCAUCAGCUCCAGCCAGGAGAUCAGACAGCAUCAAACCAGUUUAUGAAAAAAAUUUUGAACAAACUUAACGACACUAUGUAACCUUCUUGAUUUUUUUUUUCAGUCCCAUUGUUAGGAGAUUGUUGUUUACCAACUAUGUAGAAACAUACAAAGCAUCCCUACGUUUUAAUCUGUUCAGGGUUGCUUUGCGGAUGGGCAGCAACAUGCACAUUGAAAAUGGCUCCGAUCAUGCUGUGGUCAGUCCAACAGUUUGCACCUCACAUCACUCUGGUGAUCGUGCUGUCUGAUGUCCCUUUGCCAUUUAAUGACCUAGCCAGUCAGGUGCCAAUGCUUGGCUCUCAGGUGCAGCCAACAAGUUUUUUUUUUAAUUUGUCAGCUUUCCUAAGAAAUAGUGAGCGGGUGCUCAGCACACAUGCAAAGGAGACCAUUGCUUUUCAUAUUUCUGGCUCCAUUAUUCUAUAUUACACCACUCUAAGCCUGACAGUCGGAACAGAUUAAACUGCAGUUGAAUAAAGACAUCCAUUUCAUCAGGAAAACCUGGAGGAAACAACUGAUUGCAUUAUUGCAUGAUGUAAUGCAAUCAUAAAGUUGAAUAUACUCAAAUUAGCCACCCUUCAAGCCUCAGAAGAACUCUAGGUAAAACUCAAAGAUGCCACCAGGACUGGUUUGAUGAAAACACUGAAGAAAUCAAAGAUCCUCAAGGAAAAGAAUGAUGCAUUUAUAUCUUGGCAAAAUGAUAAAAAAAGCAACCUAAAAUAAAGACAAGUUCAAGUACCUGCAAGCCACAACUCGGAGCUGGCUUUAUGUUCUCUGUGAUAUACAGCAUUACACCAGUACUAACAACACAUUGUUUUACGACUCCCUGAAGGCGAUCUAUGGUGCAUCAGAAUUGGGGCCAGCUCAAAAAGUUCAGAUGGCUCUACUCUAACUAGAGACAAAAGAGGACUCUCUGACAGUGCAGCAAUUUACUGAGCUACUCCACCAUCUUCCUACUGGCAACCCACUGGUGAUAGAGGAACUGAUCCAGCACCCCAUGCAUGAAGAAAUUGCCCAGUUACCACAAAGGAAGUGCAAAAUGCUAUUAAAGAAACUAAGUCAAGUAAAUCAACAGGGUAAGACAGUGUACCAGCUGAAAUCUAUAAACUUGCAGGCCCUAAAACUGUCAACUAAGAGAAUUCCUCAGGAUGUCAAAGAUGCAAUCCUAGUUAUGCUAUAUAAAAAUAAAGCCAACAGAUACCCCAGUAGUUGCUACAGUUGUAUCUCCCUUCUAUCUGUAGGUGGUAAACCCUUGUCUGUAUUUUGCUCAAUCAGCUUCUUGAAACAAUAUCAAACAAGCAUCUACCAGAGAUCCCCAAUGUGGUUUCAGAUCAGGUCAGAGCACCAUAGACAUAUUUAUUGUGAGGCAGAUUCAGGAAAAAUACGUUGAAUGAAACAUGGAACUAUGGCCGUAUUCAUUGGUAUAAAU